rnacentral:lncRNA from 1 species
AUACAAUACUCUAUUGGAUCUCCUUAAUGGUGCCUAUACAAUGGAUUCUAGAUUUGAUCUAAUCAAAUCUAAUUCUAUGGAUUCACCAAAUUAUGUCGGUUCUUCUAUCUGUCGAACUUCAUAAGUUCUACAUUAAAGGCAUCAGUACCUUCAUCAAGAUACUCCUUUUCUAAAAGGAAUACCGAACAACUCUUAUUCUUUAGCAUGGUAGAAGUUAUGUCUCCUAAAUUCUUUGAGAUUAUCCUAUAGAAUUAUAUAUAUAGGACUAGAAUCCAAGCUAAUUAGUCUGCAAAUGCUUGGCAUAAAAC